rnacentral:rRNA from 1 species
GAUGAACGCUGGCGGCGUGCCUAAUACAUGCAAGUCGAGCGAACGGACGAGAAGCUUGCUUCUCUGAUGUUAGCGGCGGACGGGUGAGUAACACGUGGAUAACCUACCUAUAAGACUGGGAUCACUUCGGGAAACCGUAGCUAAUACCGGAUAAUCUUUUGAACCGCAUGGUUCAUAAGUGAAAGACGGUCUUGCUGUCACUUAUCGAUGGAUCCGCGCUGCAUUAGCUAGUUGGUAAGGUAACGGCUUACCAAGGCUACGAUGCAUAGCCGACCUGGGAGGGUGAUCGGCCACACGGGAACUGAGACACGGUCCAGACUCCUACGGGAGGCAGCAGUAGGGAAUCUUCCGCAAUGGGCGAAAGCCUGACGGAGCAACGCCGCGUGAGUGAUGAAGGUCUUCGGAUCGUAAAACUCUGUUAUUAGUGAAGAACAUAUGUGUAAGUAACUGUGCACAUCUUGACGGUACCUAAUCAGAAAGCCACGGCUAACUACGUG